rnacentral:lncRNA from 1 species
GUCUGCGCCGUGGCCGCCGCCGCCGCCGCUGCCUGUCGCCGAGCCUGGCAUCUCCGAGCCCCCGCGCGGGGGGCUGCCGCCCAGCGCUGAUUGACAGCCCGCCUCGCCAAUGCCUGGAGGGAGAAAGGAGGUGUCUUUGUGGGCACCGAGGGAUAUAAUGGUGAUUGCAAGUUUCUGAGAGCCGUAAUUACUGAGAAAGGAUUUGUCUGACAGCAGAGAGACAGUUUUCAAAUCAGCAGCUGUGUGAUCCUUUUAAAAUAGAAUUGUGCUUCUCUUGGGUGGGUGUGGUGAUAUACGCCUAUGAUCCCAGCAUUUGGGAGGCAGAAGCAGGCAGACCUCUGUGAGUUCAAGGCCAAUCUAGUGUACAUCGUGAUAUCUAGGGCAGUCAUAGGGCUACAUAGUGACACCCUGUAGAGACCGUGUCUUAAAACAAAACAAGACAAAACAAAAACAACCACACACACACACACACACACACACACACACACACACACACACAAUCAGUUUCCAGUCUCCCCUUCAUUGUCUUUCCCCUCUGUGGCUACACUUUGCUUCUUAGAGCACACUCCUCUCUCCACUGCAGCCUCACUGGUCUUUUUGAGCAGGUCAAAGGUAUUUUAGCUGGCAUGUUUCUCCCUGGAGUGUAUACACAGUUCUUUUCCAUAUCUCUUGUACGUGUCCCUGUUUCAGUGAGGCCUUCACUAAGCUCCCUGCUUACAGCUGUAACCCUGGCCCUCUCUUGUCACACACACACACCUCCCUUCCUAUCUAGCACUGUCACUGUCUGUCAUAUUAUGAAGUGCCAUUGUGGUGAGAUUGUAACUCCCUCACAGGAAGGGAGGUCUGCUGAGUCAGCAGGUAGACUAGUGCCUAGCACAUGAAGGAGCCCCAGUGAACCUGCUGGGUGAGGAAUGGCUUGAAGAGCCGUGGAAACAGCUGGAGGAAGUGCUAAGAUUACCUAGAUGGAGAGGCAGCAAUCAUAUUAGAGGGAUGAGAGAACACAGGCAGAGUGUUUCAGGAAGCCCAUAUCCUAUUGCAGCCAGGAGGUUCAACCUUCAUUCUCUCUUCCAAAUGAAGUCCGUGAUAGUUUUCUUUCCUUUCUGUAAAGGAGGGUCUGUUGGGCCUGUUUGGAAAAGUGAUUUCCUUUUAAAGAGUAUAUAAAGGCAGUCAUUUU